UGCCAGCCGCCGCGGUAAUACGGAGGGUGCAAGCGUUGUUCGGAAUUAUUGGGCGUAAAGCGCGUGUAGGCGGUUCGUUAAGUCUGAUGUGAAAGCCCGGGGCUCAACCCCGGAAGUGCAUUGGAAACUGGCGAACUUGAGUACGGGAGAGGAAAGUGGAAUUCCGAGUGUAGGGGUGAAAUCCGUAGAUAUCAGAAGGAACAUCAAUGGCGAAGGCAGCUUUCUGGACCAAUACUGACACUGAGGUACGAAAGCGUGGGUAGCGAACAGGAUUAGAUA
rnacentral:rRNA from 1 species